ensembl:lncRNA
GGUUUCCUUGGAGGGGACGGUCCUCUCUCUCCAUAAAAGCAGGUUCCUCCCUUUCCAUAGAAGCAGCUUCCCCCCUUUCCAGAGAUUCAGGUUCCACCUUUCCAUAGAAGCAGGGUCCCCCCUUUCCAUAGAAGCAGCUUCCCCACUUUCCAGAGAAGCAGGGUCCCCCCUUUCCAUGGAAGCAAGUUCCCCUUUUGAACAGAGACAGCCAGCGAGGCAGCAGGAAGCCCAAGUGCUGAAGCUCAUCCUGCUGGCAGGGGGCAGGGGACAGCAGCCAGGGAAUGAGGGGUCCUAAGGAGAGACAUGGAGCCUCUGCGAGGCUGGGGGCCGCCACCCUGGAGCCCGGCACCCAAGGCUGACGCCCUGAGCCUGGCUGGAAGCUGAUUGCUGCGCUCACCUGUGACCGCCCAGCUGGAGACAAUAGACUUGCCUCCUGCUGCGCCCACCAAGAUAGCCGACCCACUACCUGCUGUGUCCAUCAAGCGCUGUGCCAACAGGGCAAUCUUGUGACUAUUGUGGGAGGGACAUUUCAAUCACAUGUGAAACGUCCUGUAUGGGGGUAUAUAACCACUCUGUACACCUCACUUUCUUGUGAUGUGGAUUAAGGCUGCCCCAGCUAGAGAAGCCCAAGGUGACCUGGCCUACAUGCCAAACUAUAUGACCCGGUGGAUUUUUAUGGUGUGAAUUAGGGCUGCCCCAGGGAGAGAAGCCCAGGGCAUCCUCACCUACAUGCCAAUCUAUAUGGCCAGACUUGUACCUAAAGUUAUAUGACCACACAAUAACCAGACCCCAUCUGCACUGAAAUCAUUUAAUGACUUUUUACAUCAUCUUUUCUUUUUCCAGUAAAAAUAAGUCGCGUACCCAUGCCUUAUAAAUUUAGCCCUAACCCUCAACUCAGGGCAGCAGCAGGAGCUCUGACUGCCCAUGGGUCCUGUCCCCAUGCCUGCAGCUCUUCACUGCCCAUGGGUCCUGUCCCCAUGCUAUUCCAUACUAUUCUCUAAAUAAAAGAGCACCACUGCCAGGCCUUGAGAGUUCAAGAAAUCUUUCUUUCGACUCCUCGGCUCACUGACCCCACAUCAUUUCUGGUGGCCUGUACGGGCAACUUGCUUCAUCGGCUUGUGAGCUCAAGUUCUGGAAGAGAGCGGAUUUCUCUGAGACGUCUCGGGGGCCUCUGAAAAUCCCCAGACAAACUCUCCGUCCUCUCCUAGGUCAAAAGAAAGCCUUUAUUCAGGACUCGAAUAUUUUGCAGGGUGGAGGAGAGCCUGUCAAAAAAUAUUAAAAGAUUUAAAACAUUUGUUCAGAUAGGAAACAACGCUCCCUGCAAAACCACGCUCAUGCAUCUAUUCAAAGUGGCAACAGAAAUAGUCAAGGGCAAACAGAGUUAAAGCAGUGAUUUUGCAUCAGCUUGCUUUUGAAAUUGAAACUUAUUUACUUAAUAAAUUCAUUUCAAUCUCAGUCACCUUGACCAUAAACAAAACUCCUCAGGGUUUUACUUCCACAAACCUUCUGUCACCUGCUUUUCACCUUCAGAAUUUGUCCCAGGUCUUCUUUCCUUUUUUAUUUUCUUUCCUAGUUCUUCAGGACAAAUUUGUCUUUCUUAACAAAACAAACAAAAAUAUCUCUAUUCUUUUUAUCUCCUUUACUGAAAACAUACAUUUUACUUUCCUUGUAUACAGGCUUUUUAGAAAUAUGUCUUUUCUCAUAGAAAAUUCCUCAGCAUACAUAAAACAUGUUUAUCAAUAGGGCCUAAGCAUCUUUCAGUUUCUUUGGGAUAAGAAAUCAAACGCAGACAAAUCUAUGCUUAGGAAUCAACUUUUAAUAUUUUAUCUUAUGUGGAAAUGACGUAGAUACCAAAUAAACUUUCAUUAUUUAAUUGAACUUAACAAAGCUCUGAAAAGCUUAAAUUUCCAAAAAGAUUUUGGAAGGUGUUUUUCAAGUAUGCAGACUAUAAAACAUAAUUGUUGUACUUAAAAACUCUUACCCAUUUUCAACAACUAAAUUUAGGCUGCCUACAAAAACCUCGUGAGGCAUCAAACAAAAUCAGCUAUUAUACCAAGUUAUUUUUGCUGAUAAGUUCUCUAACAGAGAUAACAUGAGUUCAUUUGACCAGUUGACCCAGGCUAUACGUCUGCAUUAUAUCCACCAAUGCUAACUUUGAGGACAUGCCUAUUUUAAAUCAAACCAGCAAACUUAAACAGGCUUUUGUUUACCAAAGAUCAUUUUGUAUCAUGCUGAACACCUUGAAACACCUUUGGGAUAGUAUUUCUUACAUUUAGAAUUUAUAGUAUGUAUUUAGUUUAAAUCAAUUAAAUAGAGCUCUGAAUUUUGGCCAUACAAUGCAGAUAUAAAACAUCAUACACAUCUAACAUACAUAUAGACACACAUACACAGAGUUCCCACUGUUAUUAUUUAAAAAUUACUGCCAUGAAUCAGGUACAGUAACACAAAGCACCCUAGGUAGGAAUCCAAAUUUCGUUUUUCCAAGUUGCAUACCAGUGGUUGCAGCAUGAGGCUCUGUUGAAUUUUCCCAUUGACUCCAACAAUGGCAACUGAGGAAUUAUUUAAUGAUGAAUAAGUGGCAUCAGUACCCAGCAGAAAGUCAGCCAAUUGUGUCCCCACUGUCCCUUGUACCCAGGGCUCAUGGGGGACUAUUGGAACGGGAGCCACCAGCAUGGCAAAGAACCCUUGGCCCCAUCAGUCGUCUUCCUCCUCAGAGUCUUGGACUCAAGAGGUCAGGGAGCUUGUUAGGAGGACCCCGAUUUUUCCCUCUCAUGCCUUCCUCCAGCUUAGGGCACUCAUUUUUCCAGGGCCCCUUUUCUUUGCAGUAGGCACACUGAUUUUUCCCCAAUAUUUGGUGCACCUCCCUAUGCAGCCCUGGCUCCCCUUUUCUGUCUCUCCAUCUGGGGGAGCUGUGUAAAGCCCUUGGCGGGCUUGGCUUUACGUUCCUCUCGAGCAUUAUAAACUUUGAAAGCAACUUUCAUCAAGUGACCAGAACUUGUGGCUGUGGUGCCUUCAACCUUCUUGAGCUUCCUUCUAAUGUCGGGGGCAUUUACCAUCAGGGGCUGUGUCACAUAGAAAUUAGGAUUAAAGAGAUUUAAAACGCUCAGGGUUGGCAUGUCCUCAUCAAGUUUUUCUUUUGGUAUCUGAGCAUCUUUGACUACUGGGAGCUUGGCUUUUCUUUGGACCGUCAGCUUGUUCCCUGGCAGGACACCCGAUCAUGCAACCACAUAAAACCCUGCACAGGUGGAAACUCAUCCCGUUUUCCAGACCUUUCACAACACAACUCCAGCUGUAAGAUGGUGUAAUAACUCAAAGUUCCAUUCAAUGUCCAUCUUUCCUCACUUUCCAAGACAUACAUCAGCCAGGUGGUGUUACAACAAAAUACCAUAUUUUUUGUCAUCGGCUUGUAACUAUGGAUUGACCAUCAGCCAAAAUCUUUCCCAAGGGGCUCCAUGUGGUGACUCCCAUGUCAACACAAAAGGGGACAGACAGACAGACAAACAACAACCAAAGAGACCAAACCAAACCAAACAAGCAUGCUUUUCCAAACACCCUCAGCCAGCAACGGAAGCCAAUACAAAGAAACCAAAACUCACAACACUUCAGUUCCAGCGUAGUCUGUGUCCUACUGACAGGUGUGCCCAAUAAAUGAAGUCGCAGCCUACAGAUCUUCCCAAAUGAGCAAAGACAAGGGACCUCGAUUGUGCACACCGGGGGACUGACCUAGUUGGGCUGGGGGAUCACGACUCCACACAAACGCUCUUUCCUUCUCCCCAAGGUAGUUUCCAGAGGUCUCCAGAGGUCCAGACGGCCACCCAGGGGAUGAAGCAUGAGGGAAGCCUCCCAGAGUGAAACCCGCUUUCCCAGCGGCUGGAGCGGCCCCUCUGGCUGUGCUGGGCACUCCGCAGAGGCCAGCCAAGGGAGCAGACCUGGACUCGACCUGGGUGAAGUCCAGUCAACUAAGUACUGGUCCCGGGUGAUCAGGCCUCCCUGAGUCUUUCUCCAGCUGUCCACUUCCACAACUGGGGCAGGCGCAGAGCACAACUCUGGAGCAUCCGAAGAAGCCGAGGGGGUCUCAGCGGGAACAACCCACAGGUCCCAUCUGGGUCGCCAACUGUGUAACCAAAAGUUCAGUCUCUGAACCCGAUGCCAAUCCAAAUAACGAGGACAGAGUCUUGAGGGGAAAGGAAAGAGCGUUUACUUUCUUUGCCCAGCAGGGGGAGCACAGCAAGGGCUGGUGCCUCAAGCACUGCUAGCUCCCCAUUAAGAAACGCGUAGGGGUUUUUAUUUGGGGUUUUAGGUAGGGGAGGGGAGCUGUGACCUUCUUGGUCAGCAUUUUCCCAUCGGCCCACGUUUGGGACAGCUUCCAAGGGCGGGGAGACAAAGGAUUCCACAGAUGGACGUCCCUGGCUGUUUAUCUCCAUGGUGGAUGGUGGACUCUGGGAAGCUUCUGUUUCUUGACGUUCUCUGGGCACUAAUUUCUCUGUGAAAGAACUUCAAGGUCCUGGGAUCAGCCACAGCUUUAGUGCGAGCCCAGCUUGAGCCCAUCUGGGCUUUAACAAUGUGUAACUUCUAUUUGGUUGUGAAGCUCAGGGAGUCAGAGGGUAAAGAAACACAUUUACGUAUGAGCGUAACUAAGGACCCAGGGAACUGGGAACGUAUGCUUGUAGUUUUAACCCAUAUAUGCUGGGCUCCCUGUAGGGGAACCCAUAUCAGGGCUGAUAUUACCUAAGAGCCAGUAAGACAAUGACCAACCAGUCACAAUUACCACUCCAGUCCCAUGGCUCCAUAAGGCAGCAAUUCCUAAGCCCACCUCAGUAAAAAACCCAGCAUCUCCAGUGUCAUAAAAUACUCAACCCCUAUCCCAUUAGACUUAAACACAAUUUCUCCCUCAUCAGUUUUCAAAAUAAAUAAAACCGCCAUAACCUCCAUCAAUAACCCCAAGGGGAAUAUCCCUGGGACAGUUAAAUCAGAAACUCAAGCCUCAGGACACUGCCCAGGAGCCGGAGCCCUUGGAUAACCAAAACCCACAUCCCCUCCAAACGGGGUGUGUGGAUAGGACACUCAGAUUCAUUAAAAAAGAUGUAAUGAAGGAAAGGGUUCUGAAAGGAGUUAGUUGUGUAUAAGUCUGGUGUGCAGGGGCCGUGGGAUUCUCCUAGAGAUAGAAUUGUUGUGAGGAUGUCUGGCAUCAUGCUCUUGGCAUGUUCUGCCGGGAAGAAGCAGGCAAGUGGACUCGCUGUGUAUUCAACAUUGAAGCCAGAGACGCGUUCGACUCUCCCUGUGUUCAAUCAAUGGAACUCGCUUGGUUCCAUUGCCAGGGUUGAAAUGAAUCAUCCUGUGCCUAGUAGUCAAGAUGAAAAAUUAGUCAUAAGUAUUCUUGGGUAAAAAUUAAUGUUGAAAGUGAAAACGAUGGUACGUUAGCAGGACGGACAGUAGAAUAAUUGCUCACGUUACUUCCCACAAAACUGUUGGUGCUGCUGCUCGUAGGGGUCUAAUUAGUGCACGUGUUGAAUUUGAAGCUGAGGCUGAUCAGAGAAUGGAAUAAACAGCUAGGCCUGACAGGGUUCGUGCAAACAGUAGGCCUAGGCUUCUGUUAAUCAGUGGGCGUGGUGUGGGUCGUGGAAUUCAUCUUGUUGGGGCCAGAGGGAGGGGCGGGAUUGGUGCAACGAGAAAUUGGGAUGUUGACGGUGUUGGUGGUGUGGCAGUUCUUUAAUGAAUAGUCUGACGGCACCAGCGAUGGGCUGCAGCAGGCCACGGGGGCCGACCGUGUUGGUCCUUUGAGGAGUCCUAUGCAGCCUAACGCUUCUCACUGGACCAUCGUGAGGAGAGCAGUGGCGAGCGGGAUGGGGGUGAUGAGUCGGAGAACGCUGAUUACAAGCGCGUUGUCAGGAAGAGGAAUCGAACCUCUGGCAAUAAAGCUUUAAAUUUUACAAGAUGCCCAGCUCUGGCAUCCUGACAUACCCCGUUCCUGGGCAGGGCUGGGUCUAAAUUAAUUAGAUUAAGAUUAUAUCAUCCAUUAGUUUGAAGGUGCUUUUGAAAAGUGGGCCUAUUUCUCUCGUCCUUUCGUACGGGGAGAAAUGUGGAAUCAAUAGAAACCAAUUGGAUUAUUGCUGAUGAACUCAGAUCUCAGAGCACCUUAAUCAUUGAACAAACGACCUGUGAACAG